GACAGCAGCAGCCACGGUAAUACGUAGGGUGCAAGCGUUAAUCGGAAUUACUGGGCGUAAAGCGUGCGCAGGCGGUUAUAUAAGACAGAUGUGAAAUCCCCGGGCUCAACCUGGGAACUGCAUUUGUGACUGUAUAGCUAGAGUACGGCAGAGGGGGAUGGAAUUCCGCGUGUAGCAGUGAAAUGCGUAGAUAUGCGGAGGAACACCGAUGGCGAAGGCAAUCCCCUGGGCCUGUACUGACGCUCAUGCACGAAAGCGUGGGGAGCAAACAGGAUUAGAUACCCCAGUAGUCCCUGUCUCUUAUAC
rnacentral:rRNA from 1 species